rnacentral:rRNA from 1 species
GAUGAACGAUGGCGGCGUGCCUAAUACAUGCAAGUCGAGCGAACGGACGAGAAGCUCGCUUCUCUGAUGUUAGCGGCGGACGGGUGAGUAACACGUGGAUAACCUACCUAUAAGACUGGGAUAACUUCGGGAAACCGGAGCUAAUACCGGAUAAUAUUUUGAACCGCAUGGUUCAAAAGUGAAAGACGGUCUUGCUGUCACUUAUAGAUGGAUCCGCGCUGCAUUAGCUAGUUGGUAAGGUAACGGCUUACCAAGGCAACGAUGCAUAGCCGACCUGAGAGGGUGAUCGGCCACACUGGAACUGAGACACGGUCCAGACUCCUACGGGAGGCAGCAGUAGGGAAUCUUCCGCAAUGGGCGAAAGCCUGACGGAGCAACGCCGCGUGAGUGAUGAAGGUCUUCGGAUCGUAAAACUCUGUUAUUAGGGAAGAACAUAUGUGUAAGUAACUGUGCACAUCUUGACGGUACCUAAUCAGAAAGCCCCGGCUAACUACGUG